rnacentral:rRNA from 1 species
UACGUAGGGUGCAAGCGUUGUCCGGAAUUAUUGGGCGUAAAGAGCUCGUAGGCGGUUUGUCGCGUCUGCUGUGAAAACGCGAGGCUCAACCUCGCGCCUGCAGUGGGUACGGGCAGACUAGAGUGCGGUAGGGGAGAUUGGAAUUCCUGGUGUAGCGGUGGAAUGCGCAGAUAUCAGGAGGAACACCGAUGGCGAAGGCAGAUCUCU